GUUGUUGGUGAAGAAGGAUAGAGGCAGUAACUGGUCUUUAUUUGACGGUAAUCAACCAGAAAGUCACGGCUAACUACGUGCCAGCAGCCGCGGUAAUACGUAGGUGGCAAGCGUUGUCCGGAUUUAUUGGGCGUAAAGCGAGCGCAGGCGGAAUGAUAAGUCUGAUGUGAAAGCCCACGGCUCAACCGUGGAACUGCAUCGGAAACUGUCAUUCUUGAGUGCAGAAGAGGAGAGUGGAAUUCCAUGUGUAGCGGUGGAA
rnacentral:rRNA from 1 species